UACGAAGGGUGCAAACGUUGCUCGGCAUUAUUGGGCGUAAAGCGCACGUAGGCGGCUUCGCAAGUCGGAAGUGAAAGCCCUUGGCUCAACCAAGGAAGUGCUUUCGAAACUGCUGAGCUUGAGUAGUUAAGAGGAUCGCGGAAUUCCCGGUGUAGAGGUGAAAUGCGUAGAUAUCGGGAGGAACACCAGUGGCGAAGGCGGCGAUCUGGGAACAUACUGACGCUGAGGCGCGAAAGCGUGGGGAGCAAACAGG
rnacentral:rRNA from 1 species